UACGUAGGUGGCAAGCGUUGUCCGGAUUUACUGGGCGUAAAGCGCGCGCAGGCGGAUUGGUCAGUCCGGGGUGAAAUCUCACGGCUCAACUGUGAGCGGUCCCCGGAUACUGCCAGUCUCGAGGUGUCUAGAGGAGAGCGGAAUUCCCGGUGUAGUGGUGGAAUGCGUAGAUAUCGGGAAGAAAACCAGUGGCGAAAGCGGCUCUCUGGGGACCACCUGACGCUGAGGCGCGAAAGCGUGGGGAGCGAACCGG
rnacentral:rRNA from 1 species